CCGCACAAGGAUGGAUAAGGUGAGCGCUCUGAGCUAAGGAGCAGUGGAAAAAAGGCUUCCUCUUAUCUGGCGAGCGUGGUCGAGGCUGGCCGUGAUGCAGACGACGCCGGGCGCGGAGGCGGCUAUCUCCGGCCAGAUCCGGUCGAGGAGGGGCGGCAGGGGUCGGAUCCUGUUCCGGCGACGGCGUGGAUGCGAUCUACGAGGCGCAUGAGGAGGUCCAAUGGUGGGGCUUCAAUUCCAAGUUCAUCGCGGCGGCGUUCCUCGCCGGUACCGAGCGAGAUGGCUAGCUCCGGCGAAGUCUCUCCAUCGAUACGGUGGCUCUGUACCUGUGAGAGAGACAUAGGUGAGGGGAGAGGCAGGGAGGAGAGGGUGUGAGGAGCGGCAAGGAAGUCUUGGUGGUGCCCGCCUCCUACAGCAGCCCUGGUGAGUGCGGCCAAAGAGAGAGAGAUAAGAGAGAGCCAAGAGGAAGAAGGAAAGGAAGGAGACUUCAGGAAGGGGCGGCGGGAUCCUGCGGUGCUGGGUUCGAGCUCCGUUGGUGGUGCUACUGCUGCUGUUGGACAAUGGCCGAUGGGACUUGGUAAGAGGAAAACAUGGACUUGGUAAGUCCUUCUCCCUUCUCUGAUUAAUAUUGGGAUUCCGUUGCUAUUUGAUGGAGAGCAGCCACCAAAAAUUCCUCUCUUGAGCAACGCUCCCUCCCUCCCUCCCUCCCUCUCGAAUCUGAUUCAUCACAAGACUAUCAACAGACAACAUCCUACCUCCAGAAUGUUUGGGGCCCCUAGGUAUUUGACUGAAUAGCACGGGCUCGCGUGUGUAUGUCACCAUGACAAUACUGCACUUCAAGAUUUCAUAAGUUUAAUCUUUAGUUCUAACAUUAUCUUUUGUGCAGAUAAGGAUGGCAGUAGAAGAGCUUGACGACAAUGAAUGACAACCAUAUGGACAUUUUUUUAGUAGCCAAUGAAUAUAGGCCAGUGAGCCAUGGAUUUUGGUUUGCUCUUUUUCUCCUUUAUGUGAUGAGGCAAGGAACAUGCUAAAGGGGAUAUUGUCAAUGCUGCAUAAUUAUGUUGUAUGAUGUUUACAUAUUUUCGGACCUCAUCUCAGUAAAAUUCUGUAUUUAUUUUGGGGCCUAAUGGUGUUUAGUUCAUUUAACUUUUUCUAUUCAUAUACACGAAUAGCAGGAUUUCAGGCCAGUAGACUGUUAUACCAGCAGUUUCAUUUAACUUUUAUUCAUUAAUAGUGAGAGUAAGAUAUCCUGACAAUUUGUCCGCUGGAAAAUCUUACGUACUAUUUGUUUCAUGUAGGUUCUGGAAUUGCUUGAGGUUGUACAGUUUAGAUGUCCAGACACUUCAAUGAAAUACUCUCAGUUGCUUUCAAAUCUGAGAGUUGGAUGGAAGCUUGAAGAGAUCCUAUAGAAUUCUGCAACAUCUGAAUUUGGUGGUGUAUAUUGUUUUUCGGAGAGAGGUGAUCGACAGAUUGAUCUGGAUGCGUUCCAUCAAAAUCUUAUCCAAGUUGCAUGAUGUCACAAAAACUGCACACAAUUGAGCGAGUCUAAGAAAGAAGAGCUAAAAGAAUCGUUCCAUCAUAUGCUGAAAUGGGCCCGGAGAUAUAACAAAAAUCUUGAAACAGGCAGCCCAGCUUCACAUGUUAACUAGCUGGUCUGAAAUUCUUCAAAUGAGUUGUGUGUGUGCAUGACCACUUAAUCUUUGCAGUUGGAAAUUGGAUAUAGUAACCCGCUUGUUGUUAAUUUCAGCUAGUUGUAUCAAGAAGGAUGUCAUUGCUUGAGGAUCAUUCACAGUUAUUGUUUGAAGUCGACGACAAGUGCUAUCAUCAUGAGGCCAGACAAGUCGUUGUGCCAAUCCAAUGAGUUUCCAACAAUGGAAAGUCAUCCGAAGAAUCAUGUCCCAGUGAGUAGUCCAGCUCCAGCAACAAGACCACAUCUGAUUUCCACCAAGAAGCUGGACCAGCGGCAUUGUACUCAGGACAAGUGCACUGAGGAAUAAGUAUGCAGAGAAGCUUUGAUUCAUCAUCAUCUACAUAUACUUAGAAUAUAACUCACUAGAUGAAGAAUGGCAUGUUGGCUUCUUCGCGUCCGAACUUGAAGGGGUUAUCUAUUGCUAUACAGUGAACGGAACUACCAGUUUGCAUUAAGAUGGACUCACUUUCAGCGAUGAAUAUUCUGAAUGGGAGGGACAUGGAAAGGUCUGUGUAUGCUUCUUUGGUGGCGGAGAUCAAGCAUCUGAAGUCUCUUUGUAUGGCCCGUAUUACUCAUAUCAGCUGUUGUCAAAAUGUAGUUAGUGAUAUUUUAGCAAGUUUCGCAAAAACUGAAAGGAGAACUAUAGUCUGGCUCGGCUCCGCCCCCUCGAGGUCGUUGAUUUGUGUAAGGACGAGUGCAAGGUUGCUGCUUGAGUAAUACAAGUUUAUACCUUUUUUUGCGGGUGAAUACAAAUUUAUACCCGCAAAAAAAUCAUACUA